rnacentral:rRNA from 1 species
CAGUAGCCACGGUAAUACGUAGGUCCCGAGCGUUGUCCGGAUUUAUUGGGCGUAAAGCGAGCGCAGGCGGUUAGAUAAGUCUGAAGUUAAAGGCUGUGGCUUAACCAUAGUACGCUUUGGAAACUGUUUAACUUGAGUGCAAGAGGGGAGAGUGGAAUUCCGUGUGUAGCGGUGAAAUGCGUAGAUAUAUGGAGGAACACCGGUGGCGAAAGCGGCUCUCUGGCUUGUAACUGACGCUGAGGCUCGAAAGCGUGGGGAGCAAACGGGAUUAGAUACCCGCGUAGUCCCUGUCUCUUAUACA